rnacentral:rRNA from 1 species
CCUACGGGCGGCAGCAGUGGGGAAUAUUGGACAAUGGGGGGAACCCUGAUCCAGCCAUGCCGCGUGUGUGAAGAAGGCCCUCGGGUUGUAAAGCACUUUCAGUGAGGAAGAACGCCUGGUGGUUAAUACCCAUCAGGAAAGACAUCACUCACAGAAGAAGCACCGGCUAACUCCGUGCCAGCAGCCGCGGUAAUACGGAGGGUGCGAGCGUUAAUCGGAAUUACUGGGCGUAAAGCGCGCGUAGGUGGCUUGAUAAGCCGGUUGUGAAAGCCCCGGGCUCAACCUGGGAACGGCAUCCGGAACUGUCAAGCUAGAGUGAAGGAGAGGAAGGUAGAAUUCCCGGUGUAGCGGUGAAAUGCGUAGAGAUCGGGAGGAAUACCAGUGGCGAAGGCGGCCUUCUGGACUGACACUGACACUGAGGUGCGAAAGCGUGGGUAGCAAACAGGAUUAGAUACCCUAGUAGUC